GAGGCAGCAGUGAGGAAUAUUGGUCAAUGGCCGAGAGGCUGAACCAGCCAAGUCGCGUGAAGGAAGAAGGAUUAUGGUUUGUAAACUUCUUUUAUAGGGGAAUAAGUGGAGGACGUGUCCUUUUUUGUAUGUACCCUAUGAAUAAGCAUCGGCUAACUCCGUGCCAGCAGCCGCGGUAAUACGGAGGAUGCGAGCGUUAUCCGGAUUUAUUGGGUUUAAAGGGUGCGUAGGUGGUGAUUUAAGUCAGCGGUGAAAGUUUGUGGCUCAACCAUAAAAUUGCCGUUGAAACUGGGUUACUUGAGUGUGUUUGAGGUAGGCGGAAUGCGUGGUGUAGCGGUGAAAUGCAUAGAUAUCACGCAGAACUCCGAUUGCGAAGGCAGCUUACUAAACCAUAACU
rnacentral:rRNA from 1 species